ensembl:snoRNA
AUGGUCCUGAAUCAAGGCUGGCUUCCUGACGCUGUUGGUUUCAAGGAGGAGCCUAAAGAGACGUCUUUCGAAGAUCUGUUGGCCAUUUCAUAACCUGGGCAGUGAAGUGGUCAAUUCAUUAGAAAGAAACAGCU